rnacentral:lncRNA from 1 species
AACACUAUACUGAGUGAUUGAUUACAGUACUAUCAUCUAAGGGGAAUUGGAGUUCUGCUGGAAAAAAAUACCUUCGUUUGCUUCUCAUGAUUACUAAGUUGUGCCAAAGCAAAAAUCAUUGGGACUGCUUCUUAAAUAUUUGCUUCCUAUGAAACCAGAAAAGACAGCUCAACGGAAAAUGACAGCUGACGCCUAGGAGUUGGUGGCCCAGCGAAGCUCCACGACCACAUGCCCAGCAGAGCGAUGCCCAGCAGUAACCACAACACUGGCGGAGCACUUCCAGACAAGGCACCCUGUCCAUCACUGAGACCAGCUGGGAGUAGAAAUAGCAGAAGCAACAGGAAGACAUCCCUAGAAUUUAGGAGCAGUUCUGCAGCAUGGUUGGAAAUACUAGGGCUAUUCAACAGCCAGAUCCCUCUGUGAUUGGCAAUGAACCUGCUGUUUUUGACAAAGAUGAUGACCCGAACUCGGAGGACACAAAGCUUGGGCGUGAUGCAUCCAACUGUGGGGGCCCUCGUACCACAGGAAACCAAUGCUCUAACCACUGCUCGAGGCUUCUCUGUAGUCUGUGCUCAAAACAACUGGCAGACAUCCCGGCCAUGAGACCUCACUUGGUGAGGAAAGAAAAGACAAACAAGGGAAGAGAAAGCACCUCCAUAAAAGAAGAAAUUUAUGAAAGUAAUUUGUGGAGAUAGUGACUGAGAAAUAUUCCCAAGUCCACACUUAGAGGACUUCCUGUUUGAAGUUGGGGGGCAGGGACAGUGGGAAGUGGGGGACUGGUGGAAACAGCCCUGUUUUUGAUGGAAUCUAACCUUGUUUUAUGAAAUAAGACAGAGCACAGGUUAGAUGUCAGGAGAAACACCGUGGACCAAAAGGAAUCUGCAGAGUAGAGGAGGGAGGAGGAGGGAUGAGGGAGCUCCCAAAUGUCCUAUCUCCAGAAGGAAGCAAGUUAUAUUGUCUAGACAAGAGGAAAUGGCUUGGGUUCUUUGGGAAGGUUAGCAGGACUUUAAAAGUCAAAAUGAUGGCUGGGAAAAUUGAACUGAAGCUUUAUGGUCUGCUUUGGGUUUUACACAGAUUCUUUGAAUUUGUUUUUUUUUUUUAAUGUCUGUCUUGUGAUUACAAGAUGCUCAUUAAAACGUGAUUAAAAUUAGUGAUUCUAACAUUAUAGAGUCCUUGCAACAAUAACACGCCUCUUGGGGCCUUCUUCCCAUUGAGGGUUUAACUGGAGUAGGGAAUCAAGCUGUUUAUUAUACCUUCUUCUUUGGAGGAACAGAAAACACAUGGUUAGGCAAAAUGUGUUUGCCAGAAGAAUCUGAAAAACACCAGGAGUUUGAAUGCUUUUUCUACUUCAUAAAGGCACUAAA